rnacentral:snoRNA from 1 species
AGCCUCUUCCAUAUGAGAAUGGGCACACUUGACCAGGCUGUCAGAAAUUGUUAAUGUGGCUAAAUUGAGACAUAGGUUAUUCUUCCAUCACAGUAAAUUUAUUGUAGUGGUGACAGUGAGACCUGUAAUACAU